GAGUUUGAUCCUGGCUCAGAUUGAACGCUGGCGGCAUGCCUUACACAUGCAAGUCGAACGGCAGCACGGGAGCUUGCUCCUGGUGGGCGAGUGGCGAACGGGUGAGUAAUGCAUCGGAACGUAUCCUGGAGUGGGGGAUAACGUAGCGAAAGUUACGCUAAUACCGCAUAUUCUGUGAGCAGGAAAGCGGGGGACCUUCGGGCCUCGCGCUCUUGGAGCGGCCGAUGUCGGAUUAGCUAGUUGGUGAGGUAAAGGCUCACCAAGGCGACGAUCCGUAGCAGGUCUGAGAGGAUGAUCUGCCACACUGGAACUGAGACACGGUCCAGACUCCUACGGGAGGCAGCAGUGGGGAAUUUUGGACAAUGGGGGCAACCCUGAUCCAGCCAUGCCGCGUGAGUGAAGAAGGCCUCGGUU
rnacentral:rRNA from 2 species